GCAGACACAUUCCAGCCAAUCAGCAGCAGACCCUCCCUCCCAGACCCUCCCAUCUGCUGGACAGCAUCCAUUUUACAUUCAUUGUGAAGCUGCAUUCUUAGUGAGCUGUCCAGGAGGUGGGAGGGUCUGGGAGGGAGGGUCUGCUGCUGAUUGGCUGGAAUGUGUCUG
rnacentral:miRNA from 1 species